rfam:Bacillus methanolicus MGA3, complete genome.
AAUAGUAUAGCAUUUGUACCGCAGACAGUAGGUGCCGAGAGGCUUAAUUUCCUACCGAGGUAUUACGAUAGAAUUAGUUAGUCCGUUUUAAAGCGGCUAUUGUAUACUGCCUCCAUGUCUGUGAAAAGAUGUGGAGGUUUUUUAUUGGUCGG